rnacentral:misc_RNA from 1 species
AAGCUUGGAAAACUUGCGGAAUUCUCUGCGCACACAAAUAAAUUCACUGGCCACAUGCCAGUGUCAUUGGUGAAUUCCCCAUCCCUUGUAACUCUUAAUUUGGACAACAAUAACCUCAAUGGUUCUAUCAAUAUCAACUGUUCUGCAAUGAUUCAUCUCGUUUCUCUGUAUCUUGGUUCAAAUAAUUUCCAUGGUCCAAUCCCUGAAACCUUCUCCUCUUGCCACAGCUUGAGUAUUUUAGAUCUUAGUGGAGACAAACUUGGUGGAGAAGUCCCUUCCAACUUCAAGAAUCUACAGGCCCUGACGUCCCUUUCACUCUCAAAUAUAAACAUUACAAACAUAUCGGCAGCCCUUGGAAUUCUACAAAAAUGCAAAAACUUGACUUUUCUAGCCUUGGAUCGCAAUUUUCAG